UUGACCUCGGAUCAGGUAGGAAUACCCGCUGAACUUAAGCAUAUCAAUAAGCGGAGGAAAAGAAACCAACAGGGAUUGCCCCAGUAACGGCGAGUGAAGCGGCAACAGCUCAAAUUUGAAAUCUGGCCCCAGGCCCGAGUUGUAAUUUGCAGAGGAUGCUUCGGGCGCGGCGCCUUCCAAGUCCCCUGGAACGGGGCGCCAUGGAGGGUGAGAGCCCCGUAUGGUGACGCCUAGCCUAUGUGAAGCUCCUUCGACGAGUCGAGUAGUUUGGGAAUGCUGCUCAAAAUGGGAGGUAGAACCCUUCUAAAGCUAAAUACCGGCUAGAGACCGAUAGCGCACAAGU
rnacentral:rRNA from 1 species